AUUGAACGCUGGCGGCAGGCCUAACACAUGCAAGUCGAGCGAGCGGCGCACGCGUGAGUAUUGUCUGUGAUACUGCCUGAUGUAGGGGGGGAACUACUGGAAACGGUAGCUACUACCGCAUACCAUCUGAUUUGCCCAGAUGGGUUUAGCUAGUGGGUGGGGUAACGGCUCACCUAGGCGACGAUCCCUAGCUGGUCUGAGAGGAUGACCAGCCACACUGGAACUGAGACACGGGCCAGACUCCUACGGGAGGCAGCAGUGGGGAAUAUUGCACAAUGGGCGCAAGCCUGAUGCAGCCAUGCCGCGUGUGUGAAGAAGGCCUUCGGGUUGUAAAGCACUUUCAGCGGGGAGGCGUUACCCGCAGAAGAAGCACCGGCUAACUCCGUGCCAGCAGCCGCGGUAAUUC
rnacentral:rRNA from 1 species